AACGCGAAGAACCUUACCUGGGCUUGAACCGCUACGGACCAGCGAUAGAAAUAUUGCCUUCCCGCAAGGGACCGUAGUAGAGGUGCUGCAUGGCUGUCGUCAGCUCGUGCCGUGAGGUGUUGGGUUAAGUCCCGCAACGAGCGCAACCCUUACUCGUAGUUGCUACCCGCAAGGGAGAACUCUACGAGGACUGCUCCGGAUAACGGAGAGGAAGGUGGGGAUGACGUCAAGUCAGCACGGCCUUUAUGUCCAGGGCUACACACGUGUUACAAUGCAUGGUACAGACUGUUGCGAACCCGCGAGGGGGAGCUAAUCGGCCAAAGCCAUGCUCAGUUCGGAUUGCAGUCUGCAACUCGACUGCAUGAAGCUGGAAUCGCUAGUAAUGGCGCAUCAGAUCGGCGCCGUGAAUACGUUCCCGGGCCUUGUACACACCGUAGAGAC
rnacentral:rRNA from 1 species